GAUGAACGCUGGCGGCGUGCUUAACACAUGCAAGUCGAACGGAAAGGCCCAAGCUUGCUUGGGUACUCGAGUGGCGAACGGGUGAGUAACACGUGGGUGAUCUGCCCUGCACUUCGGGAUAAGCCUGGGAAACUGGGUCAAUACCGGAUAGGACGAUGGUUUGGAUGCCAUUGUGGAAAGUUUUUUCGGUGUGGGAUGAGCUCGCGGCCUAUCAGCUUGUUGGUGGGGUAAUGGCCUACCAAGGCGUCGACGGGUAGCCGGCCUGAGAGGGUGUACGGCCACAUUGGGACUGAGAUACGGCCCAGACUCCUACGGGAGGCAGCAGUGGGGAAUAUUGCACAAUGGGCGCAAGCCUGAUGCAGCGACGCCGCGUGGGGGAUGACGGCCUUCGGGUUGUAAACUCCUUUCGCUAGGGACGAAGCGUUUUUGUGACGGUACCUGGAGAAGAAGCACCGGCUAACUACGUG
rnacentral:rRNA from 1 species